rnacentral:rRNA from 1 species
AUGAACGCUAGCGACAGGCUAACACAUGCAAGUCGAGGGGUAACAGGGUAGCAAUACCGCUGACGACCGGCGCACGGGUGAGUAACGCGUAUGCAACCUGCCUAUAACUGGGGAAUAGCUCCCUGAAAGGGGGAAUUAACACCGCAUAACACUAUUGAUUCGCAUGGAUUGGUAGUUAAAUGUAGCGAUACAGGUUAUAGAUGGGCAUGCGUGACAUUAGCUAGUUGGUGAGGUAACGGCUCACCAAGGCUACGAUGUCUAGGGGUUCUGAGAGGAAGGUCCCCCACACUGGUACUGAGACACGGACCAGACUCCUACGGGAGGCAGCAGUGAGGAAUAUUGGUCAAUGGGCGCAAGCCUGAACCAGCCAUGUCGCGUGCAGGAAGACUGCCCCCUAUGGGUUGUAAACUGCUUUUAUAGUAGAAGAAACACAUCUACGUGUAGAUGUCUGCCAGUAUACUAUGAAUAAGCAUCGGCUAACUCCGUGCCAGCAGCAGC